rnacentral:rRNA from 1 species
UACGUAGGGGGCAAGCGUUGUCCGGAUUUAUUGGGCGUAAAGAGCGUGUAGGCGGCUUUACAGGUCCGUUGUGAAAACUCGAGGCUCAACCUCGAGACGCCGGUGGAAACCGUAAAGCUAGAGUCCGGAAGAGGAGAGUGGAAUUCCUGGUGUAGCGGUGAAAUGCGCAGAUAUCAGGAGGAACACCCAGUGGCGAAAGGCGGCUC